ACCGCAGCACGGUUUGGGAAGACAGAAGGGGGAAACUUCCCCUCACCCGCUCACCCUCCCCACAGCUGUGGCUGUGGCCUCCAUGGCACCCCACUGUAUAUGUGUGUAGAAGCUGCUAUUUCUAAUACAAUGAGGCUGUUCUCACAAGCAGCCUAAUGCACGCUAGGGCAGACCAACCUGGGUUAGGUUGCUCAUGUGGAAUGCUGGGAUCUGCACGGAUGAGGAUGAAGCCAGAGGAAAGAGAAGGUCAUGACCUUUAGGGACUCCUGGGGAGGAGCAGGGCAUUCUUUCUCGCUGACAGCUGUAGGAGCAUUCAGUUUCCAGUAACCUUCUUAAAGAACUCUCUGUGGAUAAAUGAAUGAAAACCUUGACACUAAAACAACUGAACUAAGCAAAAACAAGAAUGGACAACUUCCAAGACUGAAGGAGGAUGAGAAUCAGUUGUCCACCUUGCUGCUUCAGCUCCCAUAGUUCUUUUGUAUGCCAAUUUCAAAGUGGUUUGGAGGGAGAGG